ensembl:lncRNA
AAAGAGAAAGAGAAAGAAAGGAGAGAGAGAAAAGAAAGGGAGAGCGGGGUAAAGAGAAAGAGAAAGAAAGGGAGAGAGAGAAAAAGAAAGGGAGAGCGGGGUAAAGAGAAAGAGAAAGAAAGGGAGAGAGAGAAAAAGAAAGGAGAGAGGGGGGAGAGAAGAGAAAGAAAGGGAGAGAGAGAAAGAAAGGGAGAGAGAAAGAAAGGAGAGAGAGAAAGAAAGGGAGAGCGGGGGUAAAGAGAAAGAGAAAGAAAGGGAGAGAGAAAGAAAGGGAGAGCGGGGGAGAGAAGAGAAAGAAAGGGAGAGAGAAAGAAGAAAGGGAGAGAGAAAGAAAAGGGAGAGAGAAAGAAAGGGAGAGCGGGGGAGAGAAGAGAAAGAAAGGGAGAGAGAGAAAGAAAGGGAGAGAGAAAGAAAAGGGAGAGAGAAAGAAUGGGAGAGCGGGGGAGAGAAGAGAAAGAAAAGCCUUGAUGUGUCACUGAUUGUUAAGUCUUCCUUUGGGUGUUUGAUUGUAAGCUUGGUGUCCAUCUCAAUCUUCACACACCUCCAUACAGGAAGCUGGUGUAUAAUAGUUAGCGUGUGUCCACCGUGUCCAAGUAUCAAGGUAUUGCGAUUGGACUCGCGUCUCAACCCAAACUCCUAAGGCGACACAGUGGUCACCUCCAUUUUACUCUCAGCCGGUGUUUAUAUUACAGUGUCUAUAUUACAGUCAGCUCACACACAACCGGAAUGCAGAAAGGUAUUUACUGACGGCUACUGUCUGAGUCUAACUUGAACACAUGAAGGCAGCAGUUAGGGGACAACCAAACAGCCUCUUCCUCUACACACAAUCCUCUUCGGUUUCUGCAUUGAGGAAGUGGUGUGGUGCAGAUCCUUGUCUUUGAUCAUGCUAAAAUGUGCUUUUAACCACAGCUCUAGGAUCAGAUUACCGUAAACUCAAUCCUAACAUUAACCUAGAGGGAUGAAAGUAAGAUCUGACCCUGUAUCAGUGUGUAUUUCUCCCUGCAGUUUAGGAGUUGAGUCUCCGCUAGGCUGGAGGCUGCAUUUAAAACACUCUGCAUCAGAAUGAAGUCAUGAGCUCAGUCAGCUAUGGGAACUGUGGGUUGCCAUAGAAAUUAGAACCGGUGAGUUGGAGAGAGAGGGAGGGAAGAGAGGAGAGAGAGAGAGGCAGGGAGGGGAGAGGUACCCAUGGCAACAGAAGCAUUCUAAAUAGAAGCCGAGACUGACCUGCCUUGGCGAGUGUUAAGUCAGGCCCACACCCACGCACACAUGCGAGGGUACACACAAAAAACGUAUGUCCACACAUACAUCCAGGCACAUGGAGAGAGAGAGAGAGACGUCUGAAGAAAAGGAAAGGAACUCCACUGUGGAACCACUAGACUAUUGGUACAGCAAAUGUCAGACAAGACACUUCUGUCUCUGUUUUCUCCCCACCCACCUCCUCAGUCAUGUAAGCAUGGUGUGUAAAGUCAACCAAGCGACAUUGUAGAGCGAGCGAGGCGUUAAAACAGUGGUGUUCAUUAACACUUCUGUGACACGGUACAUUCCCUCGUUCCCUCACUUAUUUUCUUUCUUUCGGAAACUCACUCGACUGACACUCGCUCACUAAAAGGAAAAGUAGAAUUCGAUUGACAGUGUUGUUUGGGUCUUGUAGCCACACUGCUUGUUUCUAGCCUGGUCCCAGAUCUGUUUGACAAUGACCAUCGGAGUUGACAAGAUGGCACAAACAGAUCUGGGACCAGGCUAGCUUGUAGUGUUGGUGCUUUUGAUACAUAGCUGACCUGGUGGUAAAUCCUACCACAUCAAUUGACACAGAUUGUCUGGCAAAUGAGCUAGUGUUAUAAACAGCCAGGUCUCUGUCUGAGUGUGUACUGAUUCUAUACCCUGCCUGACUGGUUGAUCUCUAGUGUUA